rnacentral:rRNA from 1 species
UACAUGUGGGGAGCAAGCGUUGUUCGGAAUUAUCUGGGCAUAAAGGGUGCGUAGGUGGUUUGUUAAGUCACGGGUGAAAGUUUUCGGCCCAACCGGAAAAUUGCCCGUGAUACUGGCGAACUUGAGUGCGUGAGGGGUUACCGGAACGGAGCAGUGUAGCGGUGAAAUGCGUAGAUAUUGCUCGGAAGGCCAGAGGGCGAAGGCGGGUAACUGGUGCGCAACUGACACUGAUGCACGAAAGCGUGGGGAGCAACAGG